rfam:Gossypium raimondii Chr08_contig_1243, whole genome shotgun sequence.
CUGGGCAUAUGAUGAAUCUCAUGUUGUAAUGGGUAAUUUGCGUCUGAACUAGUAUUUCUUGAUGCUAAAACACCUUGGAGACCUGAUGCCACUU